UUGGCGUACUCUUCGAAAUGAAUAGUGUUUUAGUUUUGUGGUCACCGUCGGAUGCGACCUCACGCAACUUAACUCUACGGCUGGCUCCAGCUCCACGGCUUCUUCUUUUUCCCCAUAUUGUGUGGAUAUUCCCAGUGCUUCUUUGUUGCGAACGAAACACUCGGUCGUGUGGUAUGGGUGAGAUGAGAAGUGAGAUGGAAGGGAAUACACAUUCCAAGCGCAAUAUGUUUCCUGUUCUCUUCAAACCCACCCGCUUGCUCCUGUCGUCUCUUGUGUGGUUUUGAGAUACGGCAUACGCGUCGAUGUUUCCCGCUUGCUCUGUGUAUAUGUGUGUGCGUGUAUAUUGUAAACAAACGCGCCUAACUGUCAACUGUUCCCGCUGACAGUUCGCCGGUUCGCGCGCGCCUACAUUGUGUGUCGGUGUGUGCGUUGGAUUCACCCGGAUACCGCCGCUUCCAGUAGUAGAAAAGAUUGAUAUUGCGUGUGCAUGUGCGUGUGUGUGCGUGUUUGUUUAUAACUCGCGCGCAAAUCAAAUCUCGCUCGAGCGUGUCUAAUUGGUGGUACGGAAAGCAAACUAAGGUUUGGGGAGUGGAAGUUAAAACCCUGUCGCUGCAGAUCGUCAGCGAACGACGACAACACACCGGCUACGAGUCAGCGAAGAAAAGGUAUACCAAAAAACUCGCACCAACACCAGCUUGCUUCGAUCGAGUGUGAUGCUUCACCUUUUCGCCGCUUGAUGACAGAAGGUGCAAUAGCUGGCCGGCCGGAGACGGUGGUGGUAACGAUGUAUGCUGGAAACACACACACUCACACAGUUACGCGUGCGCGAAUUCAACUGUCAAAAGCGUAUGUACCGCGGCAGCUAUCAAUUGCGAUGUAUUGAUAUCCCGGCGACUGCGAUGCACAUCCAAACGUGGCGACGUUUCGAAGAACUCUGCCGCUACGAACUCAACUCAACACAGCGCACACCUCGCGCUGUCGAUGUGUCACCGUAUGCGUGUGUACAACGCGAGCGCAUGUGUACAUAAAAGGCGGAGUGCCCACGGGGAAGCUGAAGUCACUCACCACUAUAUACUGCGUUGCUUAUGUUUGGUGAAUUGGGCGCUCGCUUCGUUCGAUCACUCAGCACGCGUUCACGAUUCGCGGCUGCCGACUAAUUACGACGCAACAAGAGGGCACUACGUCGAAAGUACGCGAUGUCAAAAUUGAUGUAAUUACUUUUCUGCGGUUUAUUUUUUUAAUCAUAAAUUACACACUCUCUCACACUGUU